rnacentral:rRNA from 1 species
AUGGCCAGCUCCGGCAUCGCCUACCCCGACCGCUUCUACGCCGCCGCGGCAUACGCCGGCUUCGGCGGCGCCGGCGCCCCCUCCGCCGCCGCCAUCUCCCGCUUCCAGAACGACGUCGCCCUCCUCCUCUACGGCCUCCACCAGCAGGCGACGGUCGGGCCCUGCAACGUGCCCAAGCCCAGGGCGUGGAGCCCCGUGGGGCAGAGCAAAUGGACGAGCUGGCAUGGGCUUGGAAGCAUGCCGUCCGCCGAGGCGAUGCGUCUCUUUGUCAAAAUACUGGAGGAGGAAGAUCCUGGAUGGUACUCUAGAAUCCCCGAGUUCAUCAACCCUCAGCCUGUAGUAGAUAUUGAAAUGCAUAAACCAAAGGAAGAGCCGGACAUCGUACCUUUGACAAAUGGAACUGGAACAUCAUCAAUUCCAGAACCAAAAACCAUUUCUGAAAACGGAAGUUCAGUGGAGACACAAGACAAAGUUGUUAUUCUGGAAGGUCUUAGUACUGUCAGUGCUCACGAGGAAUGGACUGCAUUGUCUGUUAGCGGCCAGCGGCCUAAACCCCGCUAUGAGCAUGGAGCAACUGUUCUACAAGACAAAAUGUAUAUAUUUGGUGGAAACCACAAUGGCCGUUAUCUUAGUGACCUUCAGGUUUUGGAUCUGAAGAGUUUGACUUGGUCCAAGAUUGAUGCCAAAUUGCAAGCUGGAACAUCUGAUUCAGCUAAAACAGCACAAGUCUCUCCAUGUGCUGGCCAUUCUUUGAUAUCAUGCGGUAACAAAUUCUUCUCUGUUGCUGGGCAUACAAAAGAUCCAUCUGACAGCAUUACAGUGAAGGAAUUUGAUCCACAUACUUGUACCUGGUCGAUUGUCAAGACUUACGGAAAACCACCGGUUUCUCGUGGAGGUCAGUCAGUGACUCUUGUUGGAACAACUCUAGUCGUGUUCGGUGGCGAAGAUGCAAAGCGAUGUCUUUUGAAUGAUUUGCACAUUCUUGAUCUUGAAACCAUGACAUGGGAUGAUGUGGAUGCAAUAGGCACCCCUCCUGCUCCUAGAUCAGACCAUGUUGCUGCUUGCCACGCUGACCGCUAUCUUCUAAUUUUUGGCGGCGGAUCUCAUGCGACAUGUUUUAAUGACCUACAUGUCCUUGAUUUGCAGACGAUGGAAUGGUCAAGACCCAAACAGCAGGGCCCGAUUCCAAGCCCACGAGCUGGUCACGCAGGUGCAACUGUUGGAGAGAAUUGGUACAUUGUUGGUGGUGGCAAUAACAAAAGCGGUGUCUCCGAAACACUCGUGCUUAACAUGUCAACUCUGGCAUGGUCGGUUGUUAGCACUGUAGAAGGACGUGUUCCUCUUGCCAGUGAGGGCAUGACUUUAUUGUACAGCAAUUAUAGUGGAGAAGAUUAUCUCAUUUCUUUUGGAGGAUACAAUGGACGGUAUAGCAAUGAGGUGUAUGCUCUUAAACUUAGUGUAAAGUUAGAUUUGCAGUCGAGCACAAAGGACCAACCCACCUCAGAUAGUACGUCUAGGGUGCUGGAACCUGAGGUUGAAAUUUCUCAAGAUGGGAAGAUACGGGAGAUUGCCAUGGACAAUGCUGAUUCGAAAAACAGAAAUGAUGAAGCAAAUGAACAACUUUUGGCAGCCCUUAAAGCUGAGAAAGACGAACUAGAGGCAACGCUUAACAGGGAAGGACUGCAAACUGUACAGCUUAAAGAAGAGAUAACUGAAGCAGAGGCCAGAAAUGCUGAGCUGACAAAGGAACUUCAAGCAGUCCGUGGGCAACUUGCCGCUGAGCAGUCGAGAUGUUUUAAACUGGAGGUGGACGUGGCGGAGCUGCGGCAAAAGCUCCAGAGUCUGGAUGCGCUGGAGAGGGAGGUGGAGCUCCUUCGAAGGCAGAAGGCGGCUUCCGAGCAGGAGCAGGCGGCGCUGGACGCCAAGCAGAAGAAGCAAGCUGGCUCGGGCGGCGUGUGGGGCUGGCUUGUCGGAACCCCUCCAGACGAUGAUGAUUCCGAGUCGUCGUGA